AACGAACGCUGGCGGCGUGCCUAACACAUGCAAGUCGAGCGCGAAAAGGGCAACCUGAGUAGAGCGGCGCACGGGUGCGUAACACGUGGGUAAUCUGCCUUAGAGUCGAGGAUAACCUUCCGAAAGGUUGGCUAAUACUCGGUAAGCUUACGGUGUCUUCGGACGCUGUGGGAAAAGUAGGCCUCUGUUUACAAGCUUACGCUCUGAGAUGAGCCCGCGGCCCAUCAGCCAGUUGGCGGUGUAACGGACCACCAAGGCAACGACGGGUAGCUGGUCUGAGAGGACGAUCAGCCACACUGGAACUGAGACACGGUCCAGACUCCUACGGGAGGCAGCAGUGGGGAAUUUUCCACAAUGGGCGAAAGCCUGAUGGAGCAACGCCGCGUGUGUGAUGAAGGUUUUCGGAUCGUAAAGCACUUUCGACCGGGACGAAAAACCUCUGGCUAACAUCCAGGGGCCUGACGGUACCGGGAGAAGAAGCGCCGGCUAACUCUGUGCCAGCAGCCGCCGUAA
rnacentral:rRNA from 1 species